GCUUGCUAGAGGAGGGGCCAGCCUGCUCCCGCUUCCCCAUAGACCUCAUGGUCUUUCAAAGAUCCCUCAGGCCCCUACUUGCUUCUUUCAGCUGUAGACAUUUUCUCAUCUGGGACCAGCUAGGUGUCUAGGUUCAGGCAGAGGCACAUUUCUUUCCUUGUUCGGUGACAUUGAGUCCUUAGCAGAGCUUGCGAAAAGAUGCCCUGAGCUGGGUGUGAUACAGCCCUUCCAGCUGCCUCCUGGUGCCUCCUUACGUGGGCAGCCUGGAGAGAAGAGGUCACAGACUGUUUCCCUUGACAGAGCUGUCCCUCCUGCUUCCCUUGAUGCCUGCAUGUCACGGAUCAGUUCGCCAGGCCUAUGCAAGCAUCUUUGGACAGCAGCUACCAAACUGAGAUGGGUCGCCCAGCUGACAAUCCUCAUGUGAAAUCUACCCAAGUGGUGAAACCCCACCCAGCAGAUGAAAACCACUUUGGGAAACACCUUCUGUCACUGAUAUUUUCUUCUUCAUUAUUUAAUAUUACUUUUCUCCCUGCUCAAAAGCAAAGCAAAACAGAACAAAACAAAACAUUAAAAACAACAACAACAAAAAGAACUUCCGAAAGGGCCAUUUAUUUGCCAAGAGUCAAAGAAAGCUAAAUUAAAAGCGAAGCACGCAAGCCCCAGGACACAAAUGGAUGAUGUUUAGGACAGUGGACUUACGGCAUCUUUACACACUUGUGAUUAACCUGUCUGUGCAUUGGCAAGGCCAGGAUGAGCACCGUGAUUUUGUCUAACAUAAAACAAUUAGAAGACCACUUUUCUAUAUGUUUAUACGCUAUUUUCAAAGUUUCCAUUCAAUUAUAUUUUCAAAUAAGUAUCAAUAAAAUUAUUUUUUUUAACCUGUAGUUACUUUGGUAUCUUACAGCCUGGUCCUAUGGGAGCAGAGCUCUGAGGCAGCAUGGGUUUCCAAUCCCCUCCUUCCUGUGGGUCAACAGGCAGAAGAAAAAUGCAAAACAACUUUUCUAGAGCAUUCUUCUCAAGAUUGUGACUGCGUAACAACAUAUAACCAACAUGUAGAUCUUAUUGUGUAAUUUUGUACUUUAAAAAAUAGGUAUCAGUACCUCUGGCCUUUUUACUAAACCUCAGAGCUCUUGGUUAAAGAUCAGUUGUGUUGUAGUUAAGCAUUUAACUUUUGUCCUGU
rnacentral:lncRNA from 1 species